rnacentral:rRNA from 1 species
GAUGAACGCUGGCGGCGUGCCUAAUACAUGCAAGUCGAGCGAACGGACGAGAAGCUUGCUUCUCUGAUGUUAGCGGCGGACGGGUGAGUAACACGUGGAUAACCUACCUAUAAGACUGGGAUCACUUCGGGAAACCGUAGCUAACACCGGAUAAUAUUUUGAACCGCAUGGUUCAAAAGUGAAAGACGGUCUUGCUGUCACUUAUAGAUGGAUCCGCGCUGCAUUAGCUAGUUGGUAAGGUAACGGCUUACCAAGGCAACGAUGCAUAGCCGACCUGAGAGGAUGAUCGGCCACACUGGAACUGAGACACGGUCCAGACUCCUACGGGAGGCAGCAGUAGGGAAUCUUCCGCAAUGGGCGAAAGCCUGACGGAGCAACGCCGCGUGAGUGAUGAAGGUCUUCGGAUCGUAAAACUCUGUUAUUAGGGAAGAACAUAUGUGUAAGUAACUGUGCACAUCUUGACGGUACCUAAUCAGAAAGCCACGGCUAACUACGUG